UCUGUUUCCCUGGAGACGUGAUAAAGGUCUAAUGUUGACUGUUCCUAGGCAACGUUAGUUAUGGCAUAAAUGACUGCUGAUUGGCCAGCUGCAUCUGGGCUGCAAGAGUGAUAAGUGCCUGGUUGGAAGCUGUAUCGUUGGACUUCUGUGAUUUUGGUGACACAACUAGGAAACCACUCCAGCUCUGAGAACACAAGAAUGGAAGCAGGUGGGAAGGAUUAUUUGGAAGCCUGGUGCAGUCACCCACACAAGAGAUGAAUCAGGUGGCUUUGAGCAGGGUAGGAACAGUGGUUUUAUGUAUAUAUUUUUGAGAGAAAAAACAUCAAAAUUUGGUGCAAGAUUCAAUGUGAAAUAUGAGGGGGAAAAGAGAAAUCAAGGAUGGCUCUAAGGGUUUUGUCCUGAGCAAAUGGAAAAAAAAAAUUUUUUAAGCUUGUUAGUUUUGAGACAUCAUCAGUCUUCAAAGUGGAGAUAGUAGGUAAGUAGUUGAAUCUAAGACUGAAUUCAUGGUUAGUGAUGAAUGGUCACCUGCUGGAGGAAGGUGGGGAGAGACCCAGAUCCCAGGUGGAAGGAUGACCCUUGAUUUGCUGGGGGUGGGGGUGGGGCAUCUUCCACUGAAUGGGAAUGAUGUUAACAGAUGCAUUUACUUAGGGAGACAAAAAGGUGGAAGCUUAUUCCUCAUGGGAAGGAGCAGGAUGUGGCAGUGAGUGACAGGGCAAGGAGGCCUCACAGAGAAGGCAGGGAUGUGGAAAGGCCAGCCUGGUGCACAGACCAGUAGGGGGACUGUAAAUCUGCCCUGCUUCACUGCUGUGCUGCAGCUCAAGGCACUGUGGCAGGAUCUGCCAAACAAGCACAGAGGAUCCUUUCUCUUGUUAUGUACUCUGUGCAUGAUCAAAUGCCAAAAAGAGAAAGAACCCACUAAUCAGUAAGAACUAGCAGCCAACCUGGAACAAAAUGAAUGGAAACGAAAGAGCACCCAUGGAAGUGUCUGCAAUGAACAUCGUCUGGAGUUGUGUCUGCAGCAAGUUCAGCAGGGAAUUCAGCACAAUCUACGUCUUGUCCUGUACCAUGGUCAGGAUCAUUGCCUGCAGCCCUGCCCCUGUCAGGUUUCUCUGCUUCACGGGAAGCCUUUCAGCUCUGACUGACCGCCAGUCCCCCACCACCAGUACCUCCUACCUUCAGGUAGGAUGCCUAGCCUGGGUCCUUCAUACAUCAGCCGGUUUCAUCUUUUUGUUUGUUUUAAAGAUUUAUUUAUUUGUUGGAAAGUCAGAAAGUUACACAGAGAGAGGAGAGGCAGAGAGAGAAAGAGGUCUUCCAUCCACUGGUUCACUCCCCAAUUGGCCGCAAUGGCCGGAGCUGCACCAAUCCGAAGCCAGGAGCCGGAAACUUCUUCCAGGUCUUUCCAUGCUGGUGCAGGAGCCCAAGGACCUGGGCCAUAUUCUACUGCUUUCCCAGGCCAUAGCAGAGAUCAGAAGUGGAGCAGCCAGGACUCAAACCAGCACCCAUAAAGGAUGCUGGCCCUGCAGGCAGUGACUUUACCCACUAUGCCACAGCGCUGGCCCCCGGUUCAUCUUUAUAGCCUUUGCCAAGAAAUCGGAAGCCAGUUGACUGAGUACAAGAAGCAUUGCCCAAGACACUAGGUUCUGAGAAGUAUGAUGCCUUGAUGACUGUGGCAUCAAAAGCUGAAGGCUGUAAGGGCUCAGAGUUCAUGUGGGCUGGGUCAUUCAAUGCAGCAAACAUCUGUGGCAGCAGCGAUCUGUCAGGCACUGGGCAUCCUGCUAGACACUGAGGGAGAGAUGUGGCACAGCCCUUGCCCUCAGAUGGCUCAGAAUCCAGUGGUCCUAACAGUACAGGAGUACCUUCCAUUGUCAAAGAGUCAUCAUGAUCCCUCAAGAGCAUCCAAUCCGGGGCUGUCAUCUCAGCCACUGGAAGUUGGAGACCUGAGGAGGAGAACAUUGAGCUAAGUCUUAAGGAAUGAAUACGCAGAACCAAAAUAAAAUUUUUUACAAGAAGAAAAAAAUCGGAAGAUUUCGUGUGAUGCCUUCACAAACCCUAUUUCUUGGCACAGUGGUCAGAGGGACAGAUGGCAUUUUAGGAGGUGGAAUGAGGAUUAUUAAACAUCCUACAGUGCUGGAGAGGCGUUCCCAUACAACAGAAGAACGGUCCUGUGCAGAAUGCCAGCGGCACUUUCGCUGAGUGACACUGAUCCCACCUGGACUAGAAUCGGUGCUGUAGUUAGUUCUUGGAAUGAGCCUGUGAGUGUAGAUUAGUCCCAUUUUUCAAGUGGAACUUUUGAAGGCUCCUAGGUAAGUUAACUUGCCAAGAGAACCAGGAGGGCUGUGGCCGGGACUUGAAUCCCAGGCUGACUGCGCAGUGUGUGCCUGGACCCGUGCUCACACUGCUGUCAAGUAAUAUGGAACCAUGACAUCACAAAGACUGUGUAGCUACAGUUUGGUUUUUAAGACAGGAUUUUCAAUACAGAAAAAGUGCAAAACGACUCAAAGGGAAAAUAGAAAGUUAUAAAAAGUAUCAAUUUUCUUAAUUACAGAUUGGAUUUUUUAAAGAGUAUUCACUAUAUACCUAUUAUAAAAAAAGAUACCUUCCAAUUUCAUUAAAGAAAUAAAAAAUAACAUGGUCCAAAUUACAAAAGAAAGUAAAAUUAUCCACCCAGGAUCUGUAUUGCAAAUGAAAGUUAUGUUGCUUGAGGGAAGAAUUUAAACUCUCUUUUUAGCUUCCUAUGAUAAUCCUCUGAAAUUGGUUUAAUGGCUGACAACUUUAUAAACAAAGGGUUCUCUGUGAAGCUCAAAUUCUUUCCCAUUUCCAAGGUGAUAUUAAAAUAGCUUAAUUAAGUUUUUAUGCCUUGAUUUUUCCUUUGUAAAAAUAAAGUACAAUAAUCUUCUUUCAUCUUAUUUAAAAAGCAAGCUAACUCUAGAUAUGAAAAUAUACAGGGCCUGCAUUGUGGCCUGGUGGGUUAAGCCACCUCUUGCAAUGCCAGCGUCUCAGAGUGCUGGUUCAAGUUCUGGCUUAGAUCCAUCUCCGUGCUAAUGUUGGGCACCAAAAAGUAUGUUGUGCCCAGAUCGUUAGAUCCCCGCAGAGACCCCCAGAGAGUCGAUCACACCGAACUGCAAAAGUAAGGUUUAUUCGGGAGUACAAGCCGUGACAGGGACCCCAUCCAACCAACCGGCACAGCGGAGGAAGAAGUGAGGCCCCGGUCUUUGGGAGAGUUUUUAAAGGAAAAAAGAGCUACAUCAGCAGGAAAAAAGAGUUACUUACAGCAUGGAAGCUCUGGGGACAGGGAGUUACAGCGGGGGCCUACAGCACAGGAGCUCUGGGCACAGGGAGUUACUUUGUUUAGCAAUAUCUACUGUGCUGUCCUUGGUCUACCGAGCUAGCUGUCCCUGGUAAGCUUUGAUAUCUCCGGAAUGCCUGAAUGCCUACUUUUACAAGGACCCGGGUCUGCUAUGGGAAACGGAAGCUGCUUUUUUUUUUUAUUGUUUUAAAAUGGAGUCACUUUGGUUCUUCACUAACAUGCCUGGGAGGACAGCAGAUCAUGGCCCAUGUUCCUGGGUCCCUGCCCUGCCAUGUAGGGACCUGGAUGGAAUUUCUGCCUCCUGGCUUCAGUCUGGUCCAGGCCUAGCCAUUGAGGCCAUUUGAGCAGUGAACUGGCAAAUCAAGGAUCUCUCUCUAUAUAUCUCUGUCUCUCCCUCCCUCUGUGUCGCUGUGCCUUUCAAAUAAAUACAUAAAUAAAUCUUUUGAAAAAUGACAAUACAGCAAAGCAAAAUCUAAGGUAUCAUUAGAAAAGCAGCUCAUUGAUGAUAAAAUUGUAAUACAACAGCUUUUUCAGUAUUUUGUAAGUUGACUCUUCCAUGGCAAGUAGCAGUUGGUGAUCUGUUAAUACUAAAAAGUUGUGUUUAACACAACCAGUGAAACUUUGAGAAUACUCAGGGAGGGGUUUAUCAUCUAUCAAAGAUCUGUUGAUUCUUUCUGAUGCCCUGAUAAAGAAGGAUUAGAAUCAGCACCCUUGUCUUACUCAUCUGACAAAUAUUUAUUCAUUUCUGAGCAAGUAGCUAUUUUCAAGGCUGCUAUGAAAUAAGAGCAUAUAAAGAGAGCAUUCCUUAGAUUACAUCAGUCCACAUAAGAAACAGUUAUAAAGUCACUGUAAACCAGUAGAGUGUAGGCGUCUAUGUAUCCUAUGCCUGUACAGUCAUAUACCCUCAGGGCCAGUAGUGUAAACCUGACUUUUUGUGCUAUAAACACCACCACUCAGACACUCAACACACUCAACAAAAUAGACCAAAUCCUGGAAGGUCAACAUGUUGCUUCCUGGAAAAAUGAGAUUGCUUUAGAUCUCUGCUCAGUGACUCCAGGUUAUCUUAUUAUGACAGAAUCUAAAACAGCCCACAGGCAGGCCACGACCAAAUAUAGAGUUUGCAUUUAGCAACCAGAAGCAGGAACUGGAAGAUGCAAGGCCUCUGGGAGCCCUGGGGGACCUGCUUUGUGAUUGUUAUACAGGAAAGACACUUCCUGCUUUCUGAAUUGGGGGGGGGGGGGGAGAAUGAUUUAAAUCAUUUGAAACCACCUACAAAAAUUCCUUGCAGACUUCCCCAGUCCCUAGGAACAAGCCAGCCAUUGGGGUCAGUGUCAGAGUUUGGGACAUCUGAGUUUGUUGGUCAAAACUGAUCCCACUUUGAUUUUUACUGCAUACUGAGGUUGGUUUCUGCUUCUCUAAUUUUAGAGCCAUUAAUGUCAGCUUCAUGGAAAAUGGCCUUCUGGUGAAAAUGCUCAAAACAGUUCACUGGAAGGUACAGGCAGUAAAUAUUAUAGAUUCCAGAGCAAUUUGAAGAGUAGAUUUGGAUAAUGUACCCUGAAGCCUUGCUUCUACUCCAUUCCCACACUCCUCUGUCCCAUACUUUUGGGCAUUUCUAGCAACUUUCUUCUUUUGCCAAAUUUGAAUAUGUAAGUUAAGGCCCAUAAAUUUUUAUGUAGAUUAACUCAUUGUUUAAGCUGAAAUUCUGAAUACUGAUGAAAUAUCAGAUGGCACCAAUGGAUAGGCUUAAAAUCAAGACCUCAUGUAAGAUUUGUUUUAUGUGGUGCUGGGAAAACUGUAUCUCCACAUGCAGAAGUAUGAAGCAAGACCCCUACCUUACACCUUACACAAAAAUCCACUCAAUGUGGAUUAAAGAUAUAAAUCUAUGACCUAACACCAUCAAAUUAUUAGAGAACAUUGGAGAAGUUCUGCAAGACAUUAGCAUAGGCAAACAUUUCUUGGAAAAGACCCGAGAGACACAGGCAGUCAAAGCCAAAAUUAACAAAUGGGAUUACAUCAAAUUGAGAAGUUUCUGUACAGCAAAAGAAACAGGAAAGUGAAGAGGCAACCGAUAGAAUGGGAGAAAUUAUUUAAAACUAUGCAACUGAUAAAGGAUUAAUAACCAGAAUCUACAAAGAGAUCAAGAAACUCCACAACAACAAAACAAACAACCCAGUUAAGAGAUGGGCCAGGGGCCAGUGCUGUGGCAUAGUAGGUUAAGCCACUACCUGCAAUGCAGCAUCCCAUAUGGCCGCCGGUUCAAGACCCAGCUGCUCCACUUCUGAUCAAGCUCUCCGCUAUGGCCUGGGAAAGCAGUAGAAGAUGGCCCAAGUCCUUGAGCCCCUACACCUGUGUAGGAGACCCAGAAGAAGCUCCUGGCACCUGGCUUCAGAGCAGCUCAGCUCUGGCCAUUGUGUUCAUUUGAGGAGUAAAACAGCAGAUGGAAGACCUUUCUCUCUCUCUGCCUCUCCUUCUCUCUCUAUGUUGCUCUGACUUGCAAAUAAAUAAAUAAAUCUUAAAAAAAAAAAAAGAGAGAGAUGGGCCAAGGACUUAAACAGAUAUUUUUCAAAGGAGGAAAUCCAAAUGGCCAAAAGACACGUGAAAAAAUGUUCAGAAUCACUAGCCAUCAGGGAAAUGCAAAUCAAAACCACAAUGAGGUUUCACCUCACCCCGGUUAGAAUGGCUCACAUACAGAAAUCUACAAACAAGAAAUGCUGGUGAGGAUGUGGAGGAAAAGGUACCCUAAUCCACUGUUGGGAAUGCAAACUUGUAAAGCCACUAUGGAAGACAGUUUGGAGAUGCCUCAGAAAUCUGAAUAUAGUCCUACCAUGUGACCCAGCCAUCCCACUCCUUGGAAUUUACCCAAGGGAAAUGAAAUCAGCAAAUAAAGAGCUAUCUGCACCUCCAAGUUUAUUGCAGCUCAAUUCACAAUAGCUAAGACAUGGAAUUAACCUAAAUGGCCAUUAAUGGAAGACUGAAAAAGAAAUUUUUGGAUAUGUACUCUAUGGAAUACUACACAGCAGUAGAAAAAAAAAGGAAUCCAGUCAUUUGCAAUAAAAUGGAUGAAUCUGGAAAACAUCAGACUUAGUGAAAUAAGCCAGUCCCAAAGGGACAAAUAUUAUAUGUUCUCCCUGAUCUGUGACAACUAACAGAGCAUUUAAAAGAAAACUUGUAGAAGUGCAGUUGAGACUGUGAGAAGCAAUGACUUAAUCAGCCCCUUGUCUUGACUGUUGAGGAACAGUUUAUUAUUGUUUUACUUUUUCUUUUUCUACUUAAUACCAUUGGUUGAACUCUUUACUUAACACAGAAUUAUUCAUAGGUGUUUAAAUCCAAUUGAAAAUUGAUCCCAGUAA